rnacentral:rRNA from 1 species
AACGAACGCUGGCGGCGUGGAUAAGACAUGCAAGUCGAACGGGAACUUCAGCUGUAGCAAUACAGUUGAAGUUUUAGUGGCGAACGGGUGCGUAACACGUGGGCAAUCUGCCGAGAAGUGGGGGAUAGCUCGCCGAAAGGCGAAUUAAUACCGCAUAUGAUCAGCUAAGACAUCUUAGCGACAUCAAAGCCGGGGCAACCUGGCGCUUUUUGAGGAGCCCGCGGCCUAUCAGCUAGUUGGUGAGGUAACGGCUCACCAAGGCUAUGACGGGUAGCUGGUCUGAGAGGACGACCAGUCACACUGGAACUGAGAC